GUGCUCGCUUCGGCAGCACAUAUACUAAAAUUGGAACGAUACAGAGAAGAUUAGCAUGGCCCCUGCGCAAGGAGUAAAAGCACCUGUGUGCAAGUAUUUUU
ensembl:snRNA U6 U6 spliceosomal RNA